CUCACUCUCCCUCUUUCUCUUCCCCUCUCUUUCUCUCCUUGUCUUUUUGUCUCUUUAUGUCUAUUGCAUUAUGCCUGAAUAAUUUUCAGUCUUUUUUUUCCUCCCCUCUUGCACGCACAUGCUAAAAUAACUAGACAAAGAUGCAAGGUGGUUGCUGCAGUCCCUGUCUCUAGGACAAAUCCAAGAAAGCUUGUGAUUGCAAUGCCACCUUUCCUUUUUUUUUUUUUCCUCUUCUUUUUUUCUUCCCCAGCCAUGCUUGGUGAUUAAACUUCCUCAGGUUGGGGAAGAAAAAGGAGCUGAAAAUGAAAUAGGGUUGAGGAAAAAUCCCAUUGCAGCAGCUGCAGCCAGUGGUGUCUGCUGCCAGAUGUGCGAAGGUUCCUGGGGUCCUUGUCACUAAAAGGCAGUAUUCAAAUAUUUGGAGACAAAAGCUGCAUCCUCAGUGAUCAUUUUCUUUAUUUAACAUGGCAGCAGGCAUCGUGUGAGGAAAAAAUCAACAUGCUGGAUGUUGAAUCGGACUUUUCUCCUUUCUGGGAUGAAAGGAUGUUAUCUAUCCCGUGCCAAGAGGGAACUGAGGUACUGGUCUCUUAGCCUGUAAGGCUUGUGCAUGAUGUCUAGGAGAGCAAUUUCCAGCAGAGCGAAGCCUUAUCACAGAUUCACCUAAAAGAGCAGUGCUGAACAAGAGCUGCAUGGAAGGUAGAAACACAUUUCUCUCCCAUAUGGUUCACUUCAAUAGGUGAAGUGGGUGAAUAUCAGACAGCUCAUUAUAGAGACAUGCAUGCUGCAUUCCCAAAGUAGGAUGACAGAACAAGUCAUGGUGGAUAGGAGUCAUGGAUGUUAAAGGAGACAUUAACCAGGCGGUUGUGAAAGAUCUGAUGCCAGCUUUGGUCAAAGGGGACGAGUGUCAUCCUGAGAGUGCUCCUCUCUGGGACAGGAAGCCGGCGGAGCGAAGCCCUGGGACACUUCAUAUUCCAUCCACAGACCUAUAAAGAGAUGAAAAAUGAGCCUUGUCCAAAGCUCUUACCUCAGCACCCAGUGGCAAAAAGAAAAUGUGAGCUCGGGACCAGGUCUCUUUGAAGCUGAUUUUUUCUAUUUUUUUUUUAAACACUCCAACAGGCCUCUGGUGGUUACAGGUAUUGAUCGUCAGAAGGUAAUCUGUUCAGGUUUGGGGGCAUGCCAGACCGAAUCCUGCAGUACAUUCCUUCCUCUCCAAGGACACUUGAGCUUUUUACUGUCCACACUGGCAUGCUUGUCAGCUGUCUGCCUUCUUUGUCUUUACUGCUUUCCCUGUUUGUGGAAAGCAUAUGAUUAAAC